GAGAAACAGUCUGUGUCAUUUCCAAAAUCUUAAAACCAAAGCUAAAACGUUUGUUGUGACUUGUGAGAGCAAACCAACUCAACCAUAAAGCAUUCACAUUCCCUUCCAAACCAAGAAACAUACAAGCACAACCCAAAAGAGAAAAGGAAAGAAAAGAAGAAGAAAAUAUUCAAAACCCAUUUCCUUCCAAGUUUGUCCUACAUUUUGAUCUCUUCGAGAUCAUAAUCGAAUCAAAAACCCAAAUGGGAUUUCUGGGUUUGCAUCAAUAUCUAUGAUUAAAGAGGAAAAAAAGAAAAAAGGUGAGAUUUUUAUGGAGAGGGACCAAUCUGCUGCGGCGAGCAACUUGGAGAUAAAGGUGGUCCGUCCACGGCGGAACAACAACGUGGUGCACCCUGCGGGCCAAGCUCCGAGGACGACGGGAAGGCGGUCGUACAGCAACUACAACCCGUUCAAGAGGUGGGUCUCAUGGCUGGUCCCGUCGUUUGUGGUGGCCAACAUUGUCGUUUUUGUGGUCACCAUGUUCGUGAACGAUUGCCCCAAGAACUCGGCCUCUUGCAUUGCUCGCUUCUUGGGCCGCCUCUCUUUUCAGCCCCUCAAAGAAAACCCACUUCUUGGGCCAUCUUCAGCCACAUUAGAAAAGAUGGGUGCUCUAGACGUGCAGAGAAUGGUUCAUAAACACCAGGCAUGGCGGAUGAUCUCAUGUAUGUGGUUACAUGCUGGAGUUUUCCAUCUACUGGCCAAUAUGCUGAGUCUUGUAUUCAUUGGUAUUCGGCUUGAGCAAGAAUUUGGAUUUGUUCGAAUUGGUUUGCUUUAUGUCCUGUCUGGUUUUGGCGGGAGUUUGCUUUCAUCUCUUUUUAUUCAAUAUGGUAUUUCUGUUGGUGCUUCUGGUGCACUUUUUGGUCUACUUGGAAGCAUGCUAUCAGAGAUCAUAGCAAAUUGGACAAUGUACGAAAAUAAGUUAGCAGCAUUGCUUACUCUCAUUGUCAUCGUCAUUGUAAAUUUAGCAGUGGGAAUCCUCCCACACGUGGACAACUUUGCUCAUAUUGGAGGAUUUCUUUCUGGAUUUCUUCUUGGAUUUGUGUUUUUGAUCCGCCCCCAAUUUAAAUGGCUUACCCAAAGGAAUGCUCCUCCUGGACAUGUUUCAACUCCAGUUAAAUCUAAACACAAGACUUAUCAAUAUGUAUUGUGGGUUCUCGCUCUGAUACUAUUGAUUGUUGGGUUUACUAUUGGCAUGGUUACUCUCCUUCGAGGGGUCAAUCUGAAUGAUUACUGUUCCUGGUGUCAUUAUUUGAGCUGUGUCCCUACCUCAAAAUGGAGCUGCAAGUCACAACAAAUGUAUUGUUUGUCCAGCCAGUUAGGAAAUCAGCUGAACUUGACGUGCGUAAGCAACGGGAGAAAUGGCACUUAUUCAUUGCUGGAUGGCAACCCCACCCGGGCUCAACAGCUAUGUGCUGAGCUUUGCAGUUGACAUACAUGUACACAGCAAGAGAUGAUAGAAUGUUGAUUGAUAUGAGUCAUUCUUAUAUCUGUAGAGAAUAUUUCUUUUCUUUUUUUUGGUUGGGUAAGAGUAGUCUUGUGUAUUCACCAAGUAAUGGUUAUCGUUAUCAUUAUUCUUUUCAUUCUUUUAUUGCUUCUGUACUCUUA